rnacentral:rRNA from 1 species
UACGUAGGGUGCGAGCGUUAAUCGGAAUUACUGGGCGUAAAGCGUGCGCAGGCGGUUUUGUAAGUCAGAUGUGAAAGCCCCGGGCUCAACCUGGGAACUGCGUUUGAAACUACAAGGCUAGAGUGUAGCAGAGGGGGGUAGAAUUCCACGUGUAGCAGUGAAAUGCGUAGAGAUGUGGAGGAAUACCGAUGGCGAAGGCAGCCCCCUGGGUUAACACUGACGCUCAUGUACGAAAGCGUGGGGAGCAAACAGG